rnacentral:rRNA from 1 species
AUUGAACGCUGGCGGCAGGCCUAACACAUGCAAGUCGAGCGAGCGGCGGACGGGUGCGUAAUGUAUGGGGACUGCCCGAUCGAGGGGGAUAACUCCUGGCAACGGUUGCUAAUACCGCAUACUCUCCUCUAUCCCAUAUGGGAUUAGCUAGUAGGUUGGGUAAAGGCUCACCUAGGCGACGCUCUCUAGCUGGUCUGAGAGGAUGAUCAGCCACACUGGUACUGAGACACGGCCCAGACUCCUACGGAGGCAGCAGUGGGGAAUAUUGCACAAUGGGCGCAAGCCUGAUGCAGCCAUGCCGCGUGUAUGAAGAAGGCCUUAGGGUUGUAAAGUACUUUCAGCGGGGAGGCGUUACACGCAGAAGAAGCACCGGCUAACUCCGUGCCAGCAGCCGCGGUAAUUG